GAAGACUGGCCUGUGGCCUCCACCAUAUGCUCUCUAACGUGACAGGAAACAAGAGCAGAACUUUCUUGGUAAUAAAGUCACGUUUGUCUCUUCUGUAGAUUUAACUCCUCUGGGAUUCACUUUGCAAUAAGCUUUGAAGUCAGAGUGAAUGUGGCAAAGGGAAAUCCCAACGCUCCAAACAGGAAGUCAUCGUCAACACCUGGCAUUACAAAUUCUGGCCCUCCCCUAAUUCAUCCUAGAACAUGCAGUUGCCCUCUGACGAGAUUGCCAUGGGACUGAAGAGAAGAAAUCCAGAGGCUAGGAGCAAUCUGAAGAGAGGUGAUGAAGGGAAAGAGGGGGAAAGAGAUGUGCAAGACAGCCUGAAAAGUGCAAACAGAGGAAGAGACAGUGCCACUCCUAUCCGGGACAGCUGCCACCAUGGGACAGAUGAGAACGACUGACAACGGAGUGAACUUCAGAGACACGACGGAAUGUCGCUUGAGAAAAUUAGCGCUGACUCAGCUCUUUUGGCCCAUCUAGAUGAGGAGCAGGACGUUACGGGCAUUUUAAUACUGACAAAUACAUACGUAAUGUGUGAUAGAUAGUGUACAGUCAGUUAGUUAUAAUGGCAAAAUAUUUUACAAUAAUGAUGACUGAUUGUACAUUAUGCCUCGUUACACAGUGACUCAGCAAAUACAUUUGCAGACAUUACAUGUUGAUUUUUUUUUUUACUAUUUUAUCAUUUACAAAAUACUAAAUAAUAGUCAUUUAUAUGUUAUAGCUGCACU
ensembl:lncRNA